rnacentral:rRNA from 1 species
AACGAACGCUGGCGGCAUGCCUAACACAUGCAAGUCGAACGAGACCUUCGGGUCUAGUGGCGCACGGGUGCGUAACGGGUGGGAACCUGCCCUUAGGUUCGGAAUAACUCACCGGAAGGGGUGCUAAUAACGGAUAAUGUCUUCGGACCAAAGCUUUAUCGGCUUUGGAUGGGCCCGCGUUGGAUUAGCUAGCUGGUAGCGUAAAGGCCUACCAAGGAGACGAUGCAUAGCUGGUCUGAGAGGAUGAUCAGCCACACUGGGGCUGAGACACGGCCCAGACUCCUACGGGAGGCAGCAGUGGGGAAUAUUGGACAAUGGGCGAAAGCCUGAUCCAGCAAUGCCGCGUGAGUGAUGAAGGCCUUAGGGUUGUAAAGCUCUUUUACCCGGGGUGAUAAUGACGGUACCGGGAGAAUAAGCUCCGGCUAACUCCGUG